GAUGAACGCUGGCGGCGUGCCUAAUACAUGCAAGUCGAGCGAACAGACGAGGAGCUUGCUCCUCUGACGUUAGCGGCGGACGGGUGAGUAACACGUGGAUAACCUACCUAUAAUACUGGGAUAACUUCGGGAAGCCGGAGCUAAUACCGGAUAAUAUAUUGAACCGCAUGGUUCAAUAGUGAAAGACGGUUUUGCUGUCACUUAUAGAUGGAUCCGCGCCGCAUUAGCUAGUUGGUAAGGUAACGGCUUACCAAGGCGACGAUGCGUAGCCGACCUGAGAGGGUGAUCGGCCACACUGGAACUGAGACACGGUCCAGACUCCUACGGGAGGCAGCAGUAGGGAAUCUUCCGCAAUGGGCGAAAGCCUGACGGAGCAACGCCGCGUGAGUGAUGAAGGUCUUCGGAUCGUAAAACUCUGUUAUUAGGGAAGAACAAAUGUGUAAGUAACUAUGCACGUCUUGACGGUACCUAAUCAGAAAGCCACGGCUAACUACGUG
rnacentral:rRNA from 1 species